CGUAAACAACCUGCCUUCAGGAUGGGGACAACAGACGGAAACGACUGCUAAUACCGAAUAAGUUCCAAGAGCCGCAUGGCCCAUGGAAGAAAAGGUGGCCUCUACCUGUAAGCUAUCGCCUGAAGAGAGGUUUGCGUCUGAUUAGCUGGUUGGAGGGGUAACGGCCCACCAAGGCGACGAUCAGUAGCCGGUCUGAGAGGAUGAACGGCCACACUGGAACUGAGACACGGUCCAG
rnacentral:rRNA from 1 species